GGUGGCAUGUGCCGUAAUCCAAGUCACUGGGAGCUGAGGUUGGUGGAUCAAGUGAGCUGAGGAGCUCGGGCUGCAGCACACUAUGUUGAACGGGUGUCCACGCGAAGUUCGGUAUCGAUAUGGUGUUCCUGGGGGAGCCGGGCCCCACCAGGUUGUCUAAGGAGGGGUGAAACCGCCCAGGUCGGAACGAAGCAGGUCAAAUCCCCCGUGCUGUCCCAGUAGUGGGAUAAUACCUGUGAGUAGAUGCGCAGUGCAGCCUUUGCAAAACAUCGAACCUAAUCUUUC
rnacentral:SRP_RNA from 1 species